GAUGACAUUUUGCUUUCUUGACUUCUGUAUAAUUUCGUGAAAGGUGGCACCCCUUGAUGCCAUGUCAAUAUAUUUCACUCUUUUUUUUUUCUGAAAAAGAAAAGGAGCCAAAAGGAGCCCUAUUAAUAAAUUUCACUUUUUUUUUCCUGAAAAAAGGAAAAGGGGCCAAAAGAAGCCAUAAAUGUGACAAAUGAGUUGCUAGAGCUCUUAAGAGUAGUAUAAGACUUGAAUUUAGUAUUCUCAACUAUUAUGGGACA
rnacentral:lncRNA from 1 species